GGCCUAACACAUGCAAGUCGAACGGUAACAGGAAGCAGCUUGCUGCUUUGCUGACGAGUGGCGGACGGGUGAGUAAUGUCUGGGAAACUGCCUGAUGGAGGGGGAUAACUACUGGAAACGGUAGCUAAUACCGCAUAACGUCGCAAGACCAAAGAGGGGGACCUUCGGGCCUCUUGCCAUCGGAUGUGCCCAGAUGGGAUUAGCUAGUAGGUGGGGUAACGGCUCACCUAGGCGACGAUCCCUAGCUGGUCUGAGAGGAUGACCAGCCACACUGGAACUGAGACACGGUCCAGACUCCUACGGGAGGCAGCAGUGGGGAAUAUUGCACAAUGGGCGCAAGCCUGAUGCAGCCAUGCCGCGUGUAUGAAGAAGGCCUUCGGGUUGUAAAGUACUUUCAGCGGGGAGGAAGGCGAUGAGGUUAAUAACCUUGUCGAUUGACGUUACCCGCAGAAGAAGCACCGGCUAACUCCGUGCCAGCAGCCGCGGUA
rnacentral:rRNA from 1 species